AAUGUGCUAACGUUCGCUUGAAGCCUGUUGGCUUUGACAAACAUGGACGAAAGUUUGAACAAUGCUUCUUCAUGAGGGUUCUAGAAAAUCUUUUUUUAACUUGGUCAAACGUUUGUCUACAUGCAUCUUGGAAUUCGGUGUCGCCAUUGAAGACUUUAGUCCUCAAACCUUCUGUACAAUUAAUUCGCUGACAUGACGGAAAGCUUUGAACUUUCAUCUGAGGAGGAAUCCGGUUUAACUGACACAACAGUCGCAAUAGCUUAUCCUACACCAUGCAUUCAGUUAAAAUGCUAACAAACGGUUAGCAGUUUAGCUGGCUGCUUGGAGUUAGCAUCCAGCUAGAUGGCUGGGCUCCGGUUCCAGGAGUCACAAAUUGCAGACACACAAAUGAAAAGAGUAAUUAAUGAUGAUGAUGGCGAUGGUAACGAUAACCAGUAAGGUAAGGAAAGGGUAAGAAGAAAAGUAAGGAUGUGAGACUCGGUUGACCUAAACAAGAUUUUUCACGAUUGAUGGCUGGAAAGCACGAUUUGAGAAGAGGCGGUGCUCAUUCAUUUUUAUUGAUUCUUAAACGCCAUAUUGUUUACAUGAAGUGUUGUCCGAAUACAAUGUUAUUUACAAACAAUGCGGUCAGGAUGGUAUGACAGCAUGCAAUAUUAUAAUGCAAAAUAUCUGCAUGAAGUAUUACAAGUACACAAUGUUACCGAGAUGUAAUGUUACCUAACUGCCGUGAUUUCUGUUUAAAGUAAUGAUAGCAGACUGUUAGUUGAUGAAUGAAAUAUUAAUUAAAUGCAGUGUAAUUUGAAUGUAAUGUUAUCAGCAUGGAUGAUCAUGUGAAUUGAAUGUUAUCUGUGAAUGUCUCGUCUGAAGAAUCAGUAAUAUAAAGAGUUAUUUUACGCCCCAAAAUCUGUGCGGAUGCAUGAGAACAUCCGGGUAUUAAAGUGGGUGAGGCUGACUCACACCAAGACCAGAAAUAUUCAACGGCAUCACAAGGAUUAGGUCGUGCCACCCAAGCUGAGUCUUGAGGCAUUUCCUUCUUUCUGUUUUUUUUUUUAAUCAGAUCAUACCCCACCCUCAUCAUAUCUUUCCUGAAGACUUACCCUUUCCUUUCUUGAUGAUGAUGGACAGGAGAGAAGAACCGGUUGCUGACGGCUCUGUGGUUUAAGUAACCGGAGAUUGCUACUAUCUUCUUGUCGACAAUUCUCACACAGCGCUUUAAAAACUUAACUCAAAAUUUUUAGUAAAUAAAAAAUGUUUCAUCCCCUCCACUUUCUCCAAACCAACACACAUAACACCACAUACAGUACAUUAACCACUAAGAUAGGAUUGUUGGGAUUUGAUUGGUUAUCGGCUCAGCACGGAUAAUGACAGUUUACUGAGACUGAUAAGCACCACUCGACAACAGCUUUUCCGAGCGCUUGUUUUCAAGGCCAAUGAAGUCCAGGUCAUUGUCAAAUGUUUCUAAUAAAUAUCUUGGCUUUACUUUGCUGUCUGGCUGCUCAGUGGUCUGUCUCCUCCGUCAGUAAGGCAGUGCAGCAUGUUCAUUAAUUGUCUUAAUUUUAUUUAAUUUUCAUCUGUUUGCUAUGUUUCUCAGUUUCAGUUCAUCCAAUUUGAUUAGGAUGGCGAACCUGGUGUCAAGUGUCAUCCAAGUGCUAACCUUUCACCUCCGUCUUUGAACAGCACUGUCAAGCCCUCUCGGAGGAGCAGCUAGUACUAGUGGAGCACUUGACUCUCUCCUCCUUGCCCUUCCCCACAACCCUCAUGGCCUGCACUACACACUUGGCUCGGUGGUGGUAAGUCUGAACUUCUUGCAUUUGUUACUUGUCGCUUGUGACUAAGAAAGCUCGAUGCACGUUCCGAGAACACUAAGUGUGCUAAUUUAUGCUAAUGUAUUCUGUUGUUCAUCAGAGCAGAUGAAUCAUGGGGAACUCUAAGAAUGGCUGAAAUCCUCAGAAAAUCCCUGAUUCAUGACGGAUUAUGUUGACAUCACGCGCGGAAGUUUCUAGAGCCUGGUGCAGUACAAGGAGUGUUUGUUAGUGGCUGUUAUUAUGUUUCUAAGCACGUGAUGCACGGCAUGAAUUGCAACAGAAAAAUACACUUUAGUUUGGCGAAGCACGAAUGUUGGGCAGAGGUCCUUCUGCUCACUGUUCUAAGCAACAACAAUGUCAUCAAUCUUGGGCUAAGGCUGGCCAGAACCUGAGACUUGAUUGAUAUCAGCGUUCGUUUUCUUUUGCUCCGCGAUAACUCUUUCCCAAAUCCUGGCGUAGGGGCAAAUAACUGAGAUAGCGAAACCCCAGGGGAGAUAACUGGCCUUUCUCGCGGUUCACCCCCUUGACCUACUCCAAAGGACUCUAUUAAAUAAUUACUAACAUAAAGGAGCUUUGCUAUUUUACAGCUCAAGACAGGCUAAUUCACAUACUCCCUGCUCUCGAGGUAGAUAUGAACUCCAUUUUGUCCACAGUCUGCUCGGGUGGACCAGGUAGUUCAGGUAAACACACUGGAGGUGGGGUGGACCAGGUAGUUAACACUGGAGGUGGUUUUGAACGAGGUCUGUGAGAGGAUGACCAAAGCAUAAGCACUCGCCUCUGCCAUGUCAGCACGACAGUCGAGUUCGGAGGCAGAUUCACCAAGUGCUCAUGUCCAGUCUUCAACGGCCAAGACAGGGAAGCAAAGCACCGGUGGUUCGCCACCAAACACCAGACAGGGAGGGCAAGCCACCCCGCAACGACAGCCCAGUCUCGGAGGAAAUUCUACUCAGUCACGGCCAGCCACAAGACGAGAAGACGCAGAGCUCAGCCCUCGCAACAGCCUGAAAGAGACAGGACCUGCAAUUUCCAGACAUUCCAGUUCAAGGAUCAAGAACCGAGCAUCUGAUGGAGUUGACCCCGCUAGCGAGACGACCUCUGCGGCGGAGAGUAAACGCGGUCUGGACGAUGUUGAGAAGCUCUCGCAGGCGGCAAGGAGUCGAAGCUCGACCCACAGGGAAAAGGACAGAAUUAAAGACAAGCACUCAAACCCUGAGGUUAACGAAGAGAAAGACAAGGAAGAUGAAAAAUCCGCCAGUGAUGCAGCUUUCAACAGCGAUGUUCUUGGGAUCGAGAGGUACAGCAGCUGCAGUCGGGUGGAUGCAGCUGGUGCUCGCGCUGUGCUAGACUUCGGACCGGAGGUGUGCAGCUGUUUCCCCUCCCGCAGCAGCCACACGGUGCCGUCUAUGCUGUACGACCAGGUCCACUGCCUACACUGUCACGUGACAGGUCACGCCCACGUGGGCGUUUUCCAUUUCGAUGAUAACUGGGACGCCAAUGUACGCAAUGUGAAGUCAACGGAUCGACAUCCGCCCACCAAGAAAUACAUCAGCGGCUACCCAUAUUUCCAGCUCUCAGAAUUUCAAGAAGACGACCACAGCGCUGGCAAAGAAAAAUCACACAACACGACAACUGAAAGAUCACGUGCAGGACAACGAGGUUAGAAAACACACACCUGCACUGAAGCUAGAGCAGCCAGGUGCGUGCUGACCCGAGCGACAACGGAGAAGCCGAGUUCACUUCUAAAAAUAGAAGACACGUCACUGAACAUCUCUCACGAACGGGAGGCGAAUAGAGGGGAGACAAAACUGUGCCGGUGACCGUGGAAACGCCAUCCCGUGUGGCCAGUCAGUCCUCUUUGGUGGAAACAUUCCAGAGACACGACCUCAGCCGGUGAAUUCGUAUCGAGGUCCAGGACCUUCCGGGGACAGUUUUACGAUCCUGCCACAGACGAGUGUUACAUAUUUGACAUCACCCCUGAUUUCGGGAGACGACUCGACCAGUGGAAUGCUCGCAAGGAACUAACGAGACAGAGAACUCGCGACACCAAGAAGACAAAGGGAGACAAUUACUGAUUCUGGCAUUGUAGGUCAUUAAUUAGGUUUGCUCAGGAAAACUGCAUUGGAAGAUUUCCAUUUUAAGAAAAUUAACAAUUAUAUGUAUAGAUUAACGACAAAGAAUAUGUGUGCUAAACUUUAUUUACAGAAUAGGAAGGGCAUUUGUCUGCAACAAAAAUGAAAAGGAAAAAUAGACCGGCAAACGUGAUGGACCUCCAAGGACAAUAAUUUUUUUUCUGUUUUCGCUUCAUUAUAAAUCAGUCAUUAAAUAAGUUACAAAAAAAUGUCAUAUUUCAUGUCACAGCACAGAUGUUAGAAAUCCCAGAUUUUAAACAAGAACAGUUUCUAUUUAGAACUAUUUUCCUUCCAGCUCCUCAAGAAAGGAUGAAGUGUGAUACAUUCACACAUAACUGACAUAAUCACCAAUUUAUGUGUGACUCAUUAUACUUACACCAGCCAAUACUAAACACGCACAACAUCAUCUAUUUAAGACUUUAUUUUGAAAAAUAUUUCAAAUCAGGAGCAUAAAUAAUAAUCUGACUGCUUUCCAUGCAACAUUCAGUGUUUGAGGAUGAAUUGCGGCUUCUGACAACAAGCAAGUUAACAAGAUACAGAGCAAGACCUGCUAAACAGAGACACAAAAGGGAAGGAAGGAAGAAGAAAAUCAUAUGUAAAGAACAGUUUCGUUUUUUGUUCCGAAAUUAGACAAGUUCUUUUUCUGCAUAGACUGUCAAUACAUCCGAAAAAAAAAGUUUUAGCAUCUACUUCAUAAAUUUUCUGACAAGACAUCUAAUCAUGACUGGUACCAUGUUUAAAUGUCGAAGCACUGAUGAUUUUAUCAACUGUGGACUUUUAAUUUCAAGAUAUUCUCGUGUUAUUAUUUAUGGGAAGCCCAUAGAAAAAAAAACAAGGAAAGCAACAACAUAAACAUUAUGGGAUGCUCCGGCAAGCCCUGCGUUCUCCUCUAUCAUAUUAUCAGAUAAUUGUUGCACGAGGCUCACUGGAAGCUGCUUUGCCAUAGUUUAUAUCUGUAAAAAAAAAAAAA
rnacentral:misc_RNA from 1 species